CCAAUAUAAGAAGUGUUGGCUCUAAUAGGAUUGAUCCCAAAAUUCUUUGUCAAGUCAGGUUCAUGGGUUCAAUUUCUUUAGCUGAAGAAGUAUUAAGAUGAAGGAUGUGAAAUGGAUAAGAAUCUUGCUUCUCCACCAAUUUGCUUCCAAGGAAGGAUGAUCACACCAUUCUCUUUAACUGGAAUUUUUUUUUUCAAUUGCUAGAAAUAUUUUUCUCUCCAUCAUAGUGGAUGUUACAGUUUUAGUUGUUUAGAAUAGGCUUAAAAGAAAAUCUAUUUGUAAGACAACACAUAUUUUUAUGGAUAGCAUACUGAGUGUUCUAUACAUUUUAAAUUUGAAAUUCAUACCAA